rnacentral:rRNA from 1 species
AUUGAACGCUAGCGGCAGGCUUAACACAUGCAAGUCGAGGGGCAGCGCGAUGUAGCAAUACAUUGGCGGCGACCGGCGCACGGGUGCGUAACACGUAUGGAACUUACCCUUUACUGGGAGAUAGCCCGGAGAAAUCCGGAUUAAUAUCCCAUAAUAAACGAGGUGGCAUCACUUUGUUUUGAAAGCUCCGGCGGUAAAGGAUGGCCAUGCGCACGAUUAGCUAGUAGGUGAGGUAACGGCUCACCUAGGCUACGAUCGUUAGGGGGCCUGAGAGGGUUAUCCCCCACACUGGUACUGAGACACGGACCAGACUCCUACGGGAGGCAGCAGUGAGGAAUAUUGCGCAAUGGAGGCAACUCUGACGCAGCCAUGCCGCGUGCAGGAAGAAGGCGCUACGCGUUGUAAACUGCUUUUAACCGGGAAGAAACCCCAGGACGUGUCCUGGGUUGACGGUACCGGAGGAAUAAGCACCGGCUAACUUCGUGCCAGCAGCCGCGGUAAAGUGUG